CCUACGGGGGGCUGCAGUGGGGAAUAUUGGACAAUGGGCGAAAGCCUGAUCCAGCCAUGCCGCGUGUGUGAAGAAGGCCUUCGGGUUGUAAAGCACUUUCAGUGGGGAAGAAAGCCUUGGGGCUAAUACCCUCGAGGAAGGACAUCACCCACAGAAGAAGCACCGGCUAACUCCGUGCCAGCAGCCGCGGUAAUACGGAGGGUGCGAGCGUUAAUCGGAAUUACUGGGCGUAAAGCGCGCGUAGGCGGUCUGAUAAGCCGGUUGUGAAAGCCCCGGGCUCAACCUGGGAACGGCAUCCGGAACUGUCAGGCUAGAGUGCAGGAGAGGAAGGUAGAAUUCCCGGUGUAGCGGUGAAAUGCGUAGAGAUCGGGAGGAAUACCAGUGGCGAAGGCGGCCUUCUGGACUGACACUGACGCUGAGGUGCGAAAGCGUGGGUAGCAAACAGGAUUAGAUACCCCGUAGUC
rnacentral:rRNA from 1 species